rnacentral:rRNA from 1 species
CAGUCGCCACGGGAACACGGAGGGGGCUAGCGUUGUUCGGAAUUACUGGGCGUAAAGCGUACGUAGGCGGCUUUGUAAGUUAGAGGUGAAAGCCUGGUGCUCAACACCAGAACUGCCUUUAAGACUGCAUCGCUUGAACGUCGGAGAGGUGAGUGGAAUUCCGAGUGUAGAGGUGAAAUUCGUAGAUAUUCGGAAGAACACCAGUGGCGAAGGCGGCUCACUGGACUACUGUUGACGCUGAGGUACGAAAGCGUGGGGAGCAAACAGGAUUAGAGACCCCUGUAGUCCCUGUCUCUUAUAC